GACGAACGCUGGCGGCGUGCUUAACACAUGCAAGUCGAACGGAAAGGCCCUGCUUUUGUGGGGUGCUCGAGUGGCGAACGGGUGAGUAACACGUGAGUAACCUGCCCUUGACUUUGGGAUAACUUCAGGAAACUGGGCUAAUACCGGAUAGGAGCUCCUGCUGCAUGGUGGGGGUUGGAAAGUUUCGGCGGUUGGGGAUGGACUCGCGGCUUAUCAGCUUGUUGGUGGGGUAGUGGCUUACCAAGGCUUUGACGGGUAGCCGGCCUGAGAGGGUGACCGGCCACAUUGGGACUGAGAUACGGCCCAGACUCCUACGGGAGGCAGCAGUGGGAAAUAUUGCACAAUGGGCGGAAGCCUGAUGCAGCAACGCCGCGUGCGGGAUGACGGCCUUCGGGUUGUAAACCGCUUUCGCCUGUGACGAAGCGUGAGUGACGGUAAUGGGUAAAGAAGCACCGGCUAACUACGUG
rnacentral:rRNA from 1 species